AAACACCUUUUGAAAUGACCUCAACAAUUUUACCACCAAAAAGAGUCUUUUAUUCGGCUCACCCUAUCUUUCUUUUUGAGUCAUAUAGCUCAAUUUAUAUGUACAUAUUUCUGAUGACAAAACUUGACAAGAAAUCAACUUGUAGUCUAUGUAAUUUGUAAAACAUAUGUCAUAAUCUAUCUAUAACUAUAAAGUUGAAGUAUCUGCUUUUUUAGGCUGUCAACGUCAUUCUGGAGAGGAGGGGAAAUCGUGACACGUCAGCGUUUCUUAAGUCGUUGUCUCUGGGUUCCAUUGUUUUGUUGGGCCUUACAGCAUGCAGCCCAUCACGUGUUUUAGAACAUAAUGGUGACUAAACGCCCCGUUAAGGAUUAGGUUUACUCGGAGUGCUUCUCGCGUCUCCAGAUCGAAAGGCGACACCUCUUGCGCAGCUGACCUUCCGUCUCCUUCGUUGCAAGCACUCAAAAACCGAUCAAUCAAUCAUCUUUAAUCCCCCCCUUCCAUUAAUCUAUCACCCACGAUCUGGAUUCAAUGCGAUAUUGUUGAUGUGCAAGGCGUUUGAGUCGACUAUAAAAAGAUUUCACGACAUCAUCUUUAUGCUACCCGAGAACUUGGACUGAGAUAGAAAAUAUUGAGUUUUGAUAUGCUUUAAGUUUUAGAUCUUUCGGCCUCAUGUCAUUUUCAUAUGUCUGAUUUUUUGAAAAAUUUGACUGAGUGGAAUAUGCAUUCUUCCGCAAAGGAUCGUGAAUAUGACUCAAAGAGACAUGUAUGUUCAUGAUUGAAACAACGAUGGUUUCGUUUCUUUCUCUGAAUGUGUCUUCUCUUUUGAAUUAAUCCAUGGACGAGAGAGCUCAAGAGAUGCUCCACUUCAUCCACCCAUGCUGAAGCAGCUGAUUAUGCGACAGAUCCUUUGCAAAAGAGUAAGAAAAUAAUUGAGUUACACACUUUCUGAGAUGCUUUUGUGGUCCAUAUUAAUUUAAUCUAAUUGAGCAUGCGGCUCUGUAACAUGUAAUACAAAGAGCGUUAGGUACAGAGCUUUUGGAGACUUUGGUUUAGUAUGGUUAAGAUGGACAUUGGAGAUGAAUAUAUUUUCUCGGUCCUAACUCCUUUUGGAUUCUUUCCUUUAGAACUUCAACAGCAGCUCUGUCAAUGGCAUCUUUAUAUGGACAAAAAUUGCCUCUGUUGACUUAGUUUAGGGUCCUUCACCAAUCUACAAGCAGUUCCUUACGCCAGGCGGUGUAUUCACAACUAUAAAAGACGGGCGAUGUUCCUCCACCGUUGAGGUGCGACUGCUCAGAUUCUUGGCAGCAAGGAACGUCAAACUCGGUGGUGAGCUGAUGGCAUCGAUAUGCUUCUCCUCAUGAUUCUAAGAGACACAUAGCUGUUUCGACAAGGAGACUUAUGCAGGGGAAAGUUACUUUACAAGCUGGUCUCCAAAGACACUGGGAAUACAUCAGCAGCUUCACUUUUUAGAGGCUACGUAAAGGUUGAACGUUUGACCAUGGCUGAUCACAACGAGUUUAUCAUCACUACUCCAUCUCAGGAGAUUGACUUCGUUUGCCUGCACCUGGAAGGUCAACGGCAUCGAGAUGGACAAAGGGUGGUGUUAAGUUUCUUGCUCCAAGUGUACCAAGAAACUUCAGUGGAUUGUCUCAUCCUUUACCUGCGUGCACUGCAACAAUACUAAUGUUGUUGGUGUCCUCCGGUAUGUAUCAUUCAGUAACAUUUUAUUAUCAAUCAUUUGCACCAAAAGUCCACACACGCAGAUAUACCCAUGAUUUUAAAUGCAUGUUUACUGACUGAUAUCGUGUGGAGAUGACCAUUGCUAAUGAUACUGCUGAAGGUCUAUUUGAUGGUUUUGAUUGGGAAAUGACAAACUUACAUAACAUCAGUGCCUGUGAAGCUGGUUCUGUUGACAUGCAGGAAGCACUGACUACUGGAGCAGCUCCAAGUGGUGCCGCCAAUAAGAAGUCUCCAGCUGGAGCAGCUUCCAAGAUGGCCAAGAAAGCAUGGACGGCAUAGGUUAAGAUAAUAAGAGCUCUGGAUGCAGUAUUUCCUCUUUAAAUAACACAUCAGUGUUUCUUUACAAUUUUAGUUUUGUUUUCCCCCUCUGGAGCUAUGUUUGGUUCGGACAAUCUUUAUAAAAUUUAAGUUCUUUUUUAAAACAAAAUCUGUCUAAGUUUAAAUUAGUCGAUAUAUUACUCAUGUCAUUUAACUACUCAGGAUUAGUUUUUUUGUU